rnacentral:rRNA from 1 species
UACGUAGGGGGCAAGCGUUGUCCGGAUUUAUUGGGCGUAAAGAGCGUGUAGGCGGCCAGGUAGGUCUGCUGUGAAAACUCGAGGCUUAACCUCGAGCUGUCGGCGGAAACCAUCUGGCUAGAGUCCGGAAGAGGAGAAUGGAAUUCCCGGUGUAGCGGUGAAAUGCGCAGAUAUCGGGAAGAACACCCGUGGCUAAGGCGGUUCUCUGGGACGGUACUGACGCUGAGACGCGAAAGCGUGGGGAGCGAACAGG